CAGGAAACAAAUUUAAAAGUUUAAAAAGAAUGAGGACAACAAGUGACAAAACUGUGCCCAGCUCCAGCAGCUCCCUGGGUGCUGUCCCCGUGCCAGGAGCAGAGAUCUUGAGGGAAGAGCGACUCAUCUGCAGAUUUCCUGACUCCAUCUCCCUCUUCUCCAGCAUUCUCAGAAAUGUGACAGCACACAGGAUCAUACAAAUCCUACAGACAGUAAAAUUUUUCUCUGGUUUUCUUAAAAGAGAAAAGGAAAAGGAAAUGAAUCCAUACUAUUUGUUCGGCAAAAAGCAAAAUGUGCACAAAAAAGCCAAGCUUCUCCCUGUUUCAAGAGCUUUGACUGCUGGAUUUGAAUGAACUAAGAUCUCACUGUGACAAGCAGAGCAGUCUGGAACCAGGCACUGCUGUUGCAGUCAGACUCUGGAGUUGUCACAUCUCAGUUUUGAG